GUGGGGAAUAUUGCACAAUGGGGGAGACCCUGAUGCAGCAACGCCGCGUGAGUGAUGACGGCCUUCGGGUUGUAAAGCUCUGUCUUCAGGGACGAUAAUGACGGUACCUGAGGAGGAAGCCACGGCUAACUACGUGCCAGCAGCCGCGGUAAUACGUAGGUGGCAAGCGUUGUCCGGAUUUACUGGGCGUAAAGGGAGCGUAGGUGGAUAUUUAAGUGGGAUGUGAAAUAAUCGGGCUUAACCUGGGUGCUGCAUUCCAAACUGGAUAUCUAGAGUGCAGGAGAGGAGAAUGGAAUUCCUAGUGUAGCGGUGAAAGUCUUAGAGAUUAGGAAGAACACCAGUGGCGAAGGCGAUUCUCUGGACUGUAACUGACGCUGAGGCUCGAAAGCGUGGGGAGCAAACAGGAUUAGAUACCCUUGUAGUCC
rnacentral:rRNA from 1 species